rnacentral:rRNA from 1 species
GACGAACGCUGGCGGCGUGCUUAACACAUGCAAGUCGUACGGUAAGGCCCUUUCGGGGGUACACGAGUGGCGAACGGGUGAGUAACACGUGAGUAACCUGCCCACAACUUUGGGAUAACGCUAGGAAACUGGUGCUAAUACUUGAUAUGUGCCCCUGCUGCAUGGUGGGGGUUGGAAAGCUCCUGCGGUUGUGGAUGGACUCGCGGCCUAUCGGCUUGUUGGUGGGGGAGUGGCCUACCAAGGCGGCGAAGGGUAUCCGGCCUGAGAGGGUGGACGGCCAAAUUGGGGCUGGGAUUCGGCCCAGACCCCGACGGGGGGCAGCAGGGGGGGAUAUUGCACAAGGGGGGCGAGCCUGAUGCAGCAACGCCGGGGGCGGGAAGACGGCCUUCGGGUUGGAAACCGGGUUCAGCAGGGGCGAAGCUUUUUGUGACGGUAACUGCAGAAGAAGCACCGGCUAACUACGUG